AUCGAUUAUCUGCCCUCAGGACGGGAAUAGCGGCGGGAAACUGCCGGUAAUGCCCGAUAAUGUCUCCGGACCAAAGGUGUGAGUCCGCCUGGGGAUGAGUCGAUAUCCUAUUAGCUUGUUGGCGGGGUAAUGGCCCACCAAGGCGAUGAUGGGUAGCGGGUGUGAGAGCACGACCCGCGUCAUUGGGACUGAGACACUGCCCAGACACCUACGGGUGGCUGCAGUCGAGAAUCUUCGGCAAUGGACGCAAGUCUGACCGAGCGACGCCGCGUGCGGGAUGAAGGCCUUCGGGUUGUAAACCGCUGUCAGUGGGGAGGAAGGCGCUGUGAAGAGCAGUGUUUGACCUAUCCGCAGAGGAAGUGUGGGCUAAGUUCGUGCCAGCAGCCGCGGUAAGACGAACCACACAAACGUUAUUCGGAAUUACUGGGCUUAAAGGGUGCGUAGGCGGCGUGGAAAGUUGGGUGUGAAAUCCCUCAGCUUAACUGAGGAACAGCGCCCAAAACUACCAUGCUC
rnacentral:rRNA from 1 species